rnacentral:tRNA from 1 species
GGGGCUGUAGCUCAGUUGGGAGAGCGCCUCCCUUGCACGGAGGAAGUCAGGAGUUCGAGUCUCCUCAGCUCCAC